UCCUACGGGAGGCAGCAGUGGGGGAUAUUGCACAAUGGAGGAAACUCUGAUGCAGCGACGCCGCGUGAGUGAAGAAGUAUUUCGGUAUGUAAAGCUCUAUCAGCAGGGGAAGAAAGACCUCGAAAGAGGGGAUGACGGUACCUGAGUAAGAAGCCCCGGCUAACUACGUGC
rnacentral:rRNA from 1 species